GUCCACGCCCUAAACGAUGCUUACUCGACGUAUGAAGCCUCGUCUUUGUGCGUCCAAGGGAAACCGUUAAGUAAGCCACCUGGGGAGUACGACCGCAAGGUUGAAACUCAAAGGAAUUGACGGGGUCCGCACAAGCGGUGGAGCAUGUGGUUUAAUUCGAUGAUACGCGAGGAACCUUACCUGGGCUAGAAUGCGAGUGACAGGCCGCGAAAGCGGUCCUUCCUUCGGGACACAAAGCAAGGUGCUGCAUGGCUGUCGU
rnacentral:rRNA from 1 species